AUGGAUGGGACGGAGGCAGCCACCUCAGAGAGCCCCCCUCAUGAUGCAACAGCCCAGCAGCAGGUGGACAGUGUGGAGGUGGUUGCCACUGAGGGUCCGGGGGAGACCGAGGGGAAGCCCCACUCCCCCCACGUCCAGAGUCCUCAGACUGGGGAUGCAGCCGAACCCUCCGCCGCUGGCCCUGCUACUACCCGAGGAGCCAAAAGCAGGUCAGUCAGAGAGGCCUACGUCAAGUCUUCAUAUGUUUGUAUGUGGUCUGUCUGUAUAUUUGUCUGUAUAGGUCCGUCUGUCAGUGUACAUGCGUACACCAUAUGGGCUUCUCUGCUAUUCUCAUUUAAUGCACAAACACACACAUGCACAGUCCACCCCCCCCCCCCCCCCCCCCCAGGUGUCACUCUGUUAAAGGUUGUAAUCAAUCUCCCAGACUGACUGCACUGUCGAUGUUGCUGAUGGAGGGGCAGACAGGCAGAAUCUCUCCAGGGAUCGUAUUAAUCUUAUUAACAAGCCUAUCUCCUCUAGAAACCAACCUGAUAAAUGUUGGCUGCCUGCGCUGGUCUGCUCUGCCUGGCUCGCUUUACUUUCCCUCACACACUGACUCCCAACCUCUCGGCCCAUCUCUCUAUGAUGGCUCAAGAUACUCUGUUUUGGAUCCUCAAAUACAUGGAUGUGGCUUGAUCAGUUGAUUGAGUAUAGGUUGGUCAAAGGUCUAUGUGUAACUUUCAAUUCCGACAGAUUUUUGUUGUAAGAAUAUAUUGCCGUGUGUGUACAAUCGUGGCCAAAAGUUGAGAAUGACACAUACAUUUUCAGUCUGCUGCCUCAGUUUGUAUGAGGGCAAUUUGCAUACACUCCAGAAUGCUAUGAAGAGUGAUCAGAUGAAUUGCAAUUAAUUGCAAUGUCCCACUUUGCCAUGCAAAUAUACUGAAUCCCCCCCCCCAAAACAUUUCCACUGCAUUUCCGCCCUGCCACAAAAGGACCAGCUGACAUCAUGUCAGUGAUUCUCUCUUUAACACAGGUGUGAGUGUUGACGAGGACAAGGCUGGACAUCUCUCUGUCAUGCUGAUUGAGUUCGAAUAACAGACUGGAAGCUUCAAAAGGAGGGUGGUGCUUGGAAUCAUUGUUCUUCCUCUGUCAACCAUGGUUACCUGCAAGGAAACAUGUGCCGUCAUCAUUGCUUUGCACAAAAAGGGCUUCACAGGCAAGGAUAUUGCUGCCAGUAAGAUUGCACCUCAAUCAACCAUUUAUCGGAUCAUCAAGAACUUAAAGAAGAGUGGUUUCAAUUGUUGUGAAGAAGGCUUCAGGGCGCCCAAGAAAGUCCAGCAAGCGCCAGGACCGUCUCCUACAGUUGAUUCAGCUGUGGGAUCGGGGCACCACCAGUACAGAGCUUGCUCAGGAAUGGCAGCAGGCAUGUGUGAGUGCAUCUGCACACACAGUGAGACAAAUACUUUUGGAGGAUGGCCUGGUGUCAAGAAGGGCAGCAAAGAAGCCACUUCUCUCCAGGAAAAACAUCAGGGAAAGACUGAUAUUCUGCAAAAUAUACAGGGAUUGGACUGCUGAGGAUUGAGGUGAAGUCAUUUUCUCUGAAUCCCCUUUCCGAUUGUUUGGGGCAUCCGGAAAAAAGCUUGUCUGGAGAAGACAAGGUGAGCACUACCAUCAGUCCUGUGUCAUGCCAACCAAAUCAAAAAUCAAAUCAAAUGUAUUUGUCACAUACACAUGGUUAGCUGAUGUUAAUGCGAGUGUAGCGAAAUGCUUGUGCUUCUAGUUCCGACAAUGCAGUAAUAACCAACGAGUAAUCUGACCUAACAAUUCAACUACUACCUUAUACACACAAGUGUAAAGGAUAAAGAAUAUGUACAUAAAGAUAAAAAAAGUAUUUAGUCAGCCACCAAUUGUGCAAGUUCUUUCACUUAAAAAGAUGAGAGGCCUGUAAUUUUCAUCAUAGGUACACUUCAACUAUGAGGGAAAAAAUCCAGAAAAUCACAUUGUAGGAUUUUUUAAAUGAAUUUAUUUGCAAAUUAUGGUGGAAAAUAAGUAUUUGGUCACCUACAAACAAGCAAGAUUUCUGACUCUCACAGACCUGUAACUUCUUCUUUAAGAGGCUCCUCUGUCCUCCACUCGUUACCUGUAUUAAUGGCACCUGUUUGAACUUGUUAUCAGUAUAAAAGACACCUGUCCACAAUCUCAAACAGUCACACUCCAAACUCCACUAUGGCCAAGACCAAAGAGCUGUCAAAGGACACCAGAAACAAAAUUGUAGACCUGCACCAGGCUGGGGAGACUUAAUCUGCAAUAGGUAAGCAGCUUGGUUUGAAGAAAUCAACUGUGGGAGCAAUUAUUAGGAAAUGGCCACUGAUAAUCUUCCUCGAUCUGGGGCUCCACGUGGGGUCAAAAUGAUCACAAGAACGGUGAGCAAAAAUCCCAGAACCACACGGGGGGACCUAGUGAAUGACUUGCAGAGAGCUGGGAUCAAAGUAACAAAGCCUACCAUCAGUAACACACUACGCCGCCAGGGACUCAAAUCCUGCAGUGCCAGACGUGUCCCCCUGCUUAAGCCAGUACAUGUCCAGGCCUGUCUGAUGUUUGCUAGAGAGCAUUUGAAUGAUCCAGAAGAAGAUUGGGAGAAUGUCAUAUGGUCCGAUGAAACCAAAAUAUAACUUUUUGGUAAAAACUCAACUUGUUGUGUUUGGAGGACAAAGAAUGCUGAGUUGCAUCCAAAGAACACCAUACCUACUGUGAAGCAUGGGGGUGGAAACAUCAUGCUUUGGGGCUGUUUUUCUGCAAAGGGACCAGGACGACUGAUCCGUGUAAAGGAAAGAAUGAAUGGGGCCAUGUAUCGUGAGAUUUUGAGUGAAAACCUCCUUCCAUCAGCAAGGGCAUUGAAGAUGAAACGUGGCUGGGUCUUUCAGCAUGACAAUGAUCCCAAACACACCGCCCGGGCAACGAAGGAGUGGCUUCGUAAGAAGCAUUUCAAGGUCCUGGAGUGGCCUAGCCAGUCUCCAGAUCUCAACCCCAUAGACAAUCUUUGGAGGGAGUUGAAAGUCCGUGUUGCCCAGCAACAGCCCUAAAACAUCACUGCGCUAGAGGAGAUCUGCAUGGAUGAAUGGGCCAAAAUACCAGCAACAGUGUGUGAAAACCUUGAAAAAAACUUACAGAAAACGUUUGACCUCUGUCAUUGCCAACAAAGGGUAUAUAACAAAGUAUUGAGAAACUUUUGUUAUUGACCAAAUACUUAUUUUCCACCAUAAUUUGCAAAUAAAUUCAUAAAAAAAUCCUACAAUAUGAUUUUCUGGAUUUUUUUUCUUCUAAUUUUGUCUGUCAUAGUUGAAGUGUACCUAUGAUGAAAAUGACAGGCCUGAUCUUUUUAAGUGGGAGAACUUGCACAAUUGGUGGCUGACUAAAUACUUUUUUGCCCCACUGUAUAUGAAUGAGUGAUGGUACAGAACGGCAUAGGCAAGAUGCAGUAGAUGGUAUAGAGUACAGUAUAUACAUGAUGAGUAAUGUAGGGUAUAUAAACAGUGCUGUAGUUUAAAGUGCCUCGUGAUUCAUGUAUUACAUAAAGAUGGCAAGAUGCAGUAGAUAGAGUACAGUAUAU
rnacentral:lncRNA from 1 species